CCUGAACGCUGGCGGCGUGGCUAAGACAUGCAAGUCGCACGGGGUCGCAAGACCCAGUGGCGGACGGGUGAGUAAUUUAUCGCUAAUGUACCCUAGAGCCAGGGAUAGCUGCCCGAAAGGGCAGGUAAUACCUGAUGAUAUAACUUUAUCGCAUGAUAAGGUUCUCAAAGCAGCAAUGCACUCUUGGAGCAGGCGAUAUCGUAUCAGCUAGNGGUGAGGUAACGGCUCACCAAGGCGAUGACGCGUAGCUGGUCUGAGAGGACGACCAGCCACAUCGGGGACUGAGACACUGCCCGGACUCCUACGGGGGGC
rnacentral:rRNA from 1 species